AGUUCCUUUACAAGGAUUACAAGGAGACUGAGUUUGUUGAACCAUUGGUCCAAUUUGUCUAAUUUGCACUCUGACACCUUGACCUUGGCAAAGCUCACAAUACUGGAUGGCAUCUUUCGGCCCACCAACACCUUCACAAUCUGCACAGAUAGUAUCUUUAUUUAUUGCCAUCUUUCUUACUGCUCCGUUGUAAAUCUGUUCCAAAGUGACCUUGAGGUGAGUUACCAAAUCUUCGCCACGUCUCUUUCCACCUCCUCUACUGCCUGCGCGUCUUCCACCUCCGAAAAUUACAUCAAAUAAGUCAACUGGAUCUGCUCCUCCUCCUCCUCCCUCUAAUCCUUCCUCACCGUAUU
rnacentral:antisense_RNA from 1 species